AUGCUGAUUAAGGUUGCUUGGUUUUUUACUAAACAUUAACUGAAUGAAAACGGUUAGUCCUUGUUGUUCUGCUUGGGGGGCUUUGGUGAAGCAAAUGGACUUUCAGAACAGAGAUUGUCAAUAAAGCUUCCCACCAGGCUUUCAUAACCUUCGAACACUCUUCCUCAAAACUACUGUGUCACUGUCUUUGGAACUCCUUAAGCUGAUGAGGCAACAACAAGGCUCAACAGAUCUCUUUCACUGCCGGAGAUAAAACAGGUGUGCUCAGCCAGUACGACCAGGACAAGUUUGAGGAUUCUGGUGCCCAAGGCCUCCCUUUCCACUUGGCAGAGAUUUCCCUGUAAGUGCAGAGAGUCUCCCCAAGUAUAUGAUGAUAGAAGAUAGUCAGAGAAUGGAGUCAGAUAGAACAGAUCAUUCUAAGAUGUCUAAGUUAUUGCAGUUGCUUCUCUAGAAGCACAUAAUAUAAGUACAAGAUUAAUUUUUUGUGUCAGUUUUCAAGAACUACACAUUCCACAUGGCUUGCAUGGAAGCCCCGUUUCUUCAGCCUUCCAGACCAAUGAUCUGAUGGAUGAGUAUGGCAACAUGUUACAGUUUGAAGCACUUCAUCUGGCCAGCUACAAUUGUUCCAUAAUAGGAUAUAAACCACCUCUGAGUUUCCAUAAUCAGGCAACAAUAAUGUGACUAAAAUAAAACUCAGUUAAUUGCUUGGCUUGAUAUUGAAUGCAUGUCUGUUUUAGCUCUUACUGUGGCCACAGUCUGGGCUUGGUUGUUCCAUGACAAGGGAGUGUAGCAUGUAGUUGUACUGAGACAUGUGGUAUGUCUACGCUACAAUUAGAUAGCCAUGGCUGGCCCGUGCCAGCUGACUUGGGCUCACAGAGCUCAGGUAGUAGGGAUAUUUAAUUGUGUUUGGGCUCAGACUGCAGCAUGAGGUCUGGGACCUUCCCACUUUUCAGUGUCCAAGAGCCUAAGCUUCAGCCUGAGCUGAUGCCUACAGUGUGAUUACACAGGCCCACAGCCUGGGCCCUGUGAGCCUCAGUUGACUGAUAUGUGCUAUUUGUGGAUUUUUAAUUGCAGUGUAAACAUACUCUAAGUAACAUUGCUGUCACUGAGGUGAUGGUUGGGGUCUGCAGUGUGAGCUUGCCAACCUGGUAUGGUUUAAAUGGGUCUCACAAAGUUGCAUGGAAAAUAGUGAGAUUAGAACUUGACAGCUACAUCCUGCCUUUCCUCUCCCAAUCUGAUUACUGUUAUUACUAUGUAUAAUGGUGGCCUUGUUUUCCAACCAAUAGUUACAGUCUUUUAAUUUGUGAUGUGAUAAUAAUAAUUAUAUGUAGCUCCUUCAGAUGGUGGAAUUAAGAAAUUCUGUAUUACUUUAGAUAGUUUGUCUGUAAAACAAGGAUAAAAUAUUAAAUAUUAAACAUUUUAUUCCAUUUUCUUAAA